CCUACGGGUGGCAGCAGUGGGGAAUAUUGCGCAAUGGGCGAAAGCCUGACGCAGCGACGCCGCGUGAGGGAUGAAGGUCUUCGGAUCGUAAACCUCUGUCAGCAGGGAAGAACGGUCACGGUGCUAAGCAGCAGUGAAUGGACGGUACCUGCAAAGGAAGCACCGGCUAACUCCGUGCCAGCAGCCGCGGUAAUACGGAGGGUGCGAGCGUUAAGCGGAAUUACUGGGCGAAAAGCGCUCGUAGGCGGUAUGUCAAGUCAAGGGUGAAAUCCCCGCGCUCAACGUUGGACCUGCCUUUGAAACUGGCAACCUGGAUUGUGUGUGAGGCUAGUGGAAUUCCAGGUGUAGGCG
rnacentral:rRNA from 1 species